CAAGUCGAACGGGGUGGAGGGCAACUUCCAUUCAGUGGCGAACGGGUGAGUAAUGCAUCGGAACGUGUCCCGUAGUGGGGGAUAACGCCGCGAAAGCGGCGCUAAUACCGCAUACGCUCUACGGAGGAAAGCGGGGGCUCGCAAGACCUCGUGCUAGGGGGGCGGCCGAUGUCCGAUUAGCUUGUUGGUGGGGUAAUGGCCUACCAAGGCGACGAUCGGUAGCUGGUCUGAGAGGAUGAUCAGCCACACUGGGACUGAGACACGGCCCAGACUCCUACGGGAGGCAGCAGUGGGGAAUUUUGGACAAUGGGGGCAACCCUGAUCCAGCCAUGCCGCGUGCGGGAAGAAGGCCUUCGGGUUGUAAACCGCUUUUAGCCGGGACGAAAGCUCCACUCCGAAUACGGGUGGGGGUUGACGGUACCGGCGGAAUAAGCACCGGCUAACUACGUGCCAGCAGCCGCGGUAAUACGUAGGGUGCGAGCGUUAAUCGGAAUUACUGGGCGUAAAGCGUGCGCAGGCGGUUCGUUGUGUCGGCGGUGAAAGCCCCGGGCUUAACCUGGGAAUGGCCGUCGAAACUGGCGAACUGGAGUGUGGCAGAGGGGGGUGGAAUUCCGCGUGUAGCAGUGAAAUGCGUAGAGAUGCGGAGGAACACCGAUGGCGAAGGCAGCCCCCUGGGCUGACACUGACGCUCAGGCACGAAA
rnacentral:rRNA from 1 species